CUAGCGACUUCAGAGUUUGAUCCUGGCUCAGGAUGAACGCUGGCGGCGUGCCUAACACAUGCAAGUCGAACGGAGAUGAGUUGAUAUUUUCGGAUGGAUACUUAUCUUAGUGGCGGACGGGUGAGUAACGCGUGGAUAACCUGCCUCGUACUGGGGGAUAGCAGCUGGAAACGGCUGGUAAUACCGCAUAAGCGCACGAUGCCGCAUGGCAAUGUGUGAAAAGAUUUAUCGGUACGAGAUGGAUCCGCGUCUGAUUAGCCAGUUGGCGGGGUAAAGGCCCACCAAAGCGACGAUCAGUAGCCGGCCUGAGAGGGUGAACGGCCACAUUGGGACUGAGACACGGCCCAA
rnacentral:rRNA from 1 species